GAUGAACGCUGGCGGCGUGCUUAACACAUGCAAGUCGAACGGUGAAGGCGGGGUUUGCUCUGCUGGAUCAGUGGCGAACGGGUGAGUAUCACGGGAGCAAUCUGCCCCUGACUCUGUGAUGAGCGCUGGAAACGGCUUCUAAUACUUGAUACGAGCUGCGAAAGCAUCUUCAGCUUCUGUUAACAAUUUCGGUCUGGGAUGGUCUUCCGGUUUAUCAGCUUGUUGGUGAGGUGAAGGCUCACCAAGGCGUCGACGGGUAGUCGGCAUGGGAGGGUGACCGGCCUCAUGGGGACUGAGAUAGGUCCCAGUCUCCUACUGGGGGCAGCAGUGGAUAGUAUUGCACAAUGGGGGAGAGUCUGAUGAGGAGGUGCCGCGAGAGGGAUGACGGCCUUGGGGUUGUAAAGGUCUUUUAGCAGGGAAGAAGCGAAAGUGACGGUACCUGCAGAAAAAGCGCCGGCUAACUACGUG
rnacentral:rRNA from 1 species